UUGAAAAAUUUUUAUUUUAAAAGAAAAAUUUUUUUUUUGUACCUUGUGUAUCAGGGUUUAUCAAAUAAUUAAUAAUUAUUUUAUUAUUCUCGAUUUUAUAAGAGUUAAUAAUUUACUAAAUUUAAUGUAUUAAAAUUAUUUUAAAUAAAUUAUUAGAAAUGAAAUGUUAUUCGUUUAUAAAGGUAUCUAGUUUUUUUAGAAAUAAAUUUAAUUUAUAAAUUUUUAAUUUUUUUAUUAUUUAUUUAAUAAAAAAAAUUAUUAAUUUAAGUAUUUUAAGGGAUAAGCUUUAAAAUAAAUUAUUAAAAAUUAAUUGAUUUUGUGAUUUUAAAAUAUAUGCUUAUAAUUAGCAAUUAUUAUUAAUAUUGUUAUAAAUUAUUUUAUAAAUAUAUUAUUUCAUUAAUUUUAAUAUUUUUAUAAAAAUUUUUUUUUUAAUUUAAUUAUAAAAAGUAUAAAUGAUAAAAUUAGUAUAUUAAAUUUUAAUGUAUAAUAUAAAUUUAAUUGAUAAGUUUAUAUAAAGAACUCGGCAAAUUUUAUACUCGCCUGUUUAACAAAAACAUGUCUUUUUGAGUUAUUUUUAAAGUCUAACCUGCCCAAUGAAUAAAUUUUAAUGGCCGCAGUAUCUUAACUGUGCAAAGGUAGCAUAAUCAUUAGUCUUUUAAUUGAAGGCUUGUAUGAAUGGUUGGACGAAGUAUAAACUGUUUCAUAUAAAUUUGUAAUAGAAUUUUAUUUUUUAGUAAAAAAGCUAAAAUAUUAUUAAAAGACGAGAAGACCCUAUAAAUCUUUAUAUUGUAAUUUAUUAAUUUUUUUUUGAUUUUUUAAAAUUUAAUAAUUUAUAAUAUUUUAUUGGGGUGAUAUUAAAAUUUAUUAAACUUUUAAUUUAAUUUUACAUUGAUUUAUGAUUUAUUGAUCCUUUAAUAAUGAUUAUAAGAAUAAGUUACUUUAGGGAUAACAGCGUAAUUUUUUUGGAGAGUUCUUAUCGAUAAAAAAGUUUGCGACCUCGAUGUUGGAUUAAGAGAUAUUUUUAGGUGUA
rnacentral:rRNA from 1 species